rnacentral:rRNA from 1 species
UGAAUACGAGAUGCUACGGCGUCGAAGCAGUCUAUGUCAUACUUCCAAGAAAAGCUUGCACUGUCAUAAACAAAUAAUGCCUGUACCAUAACCGACACAGGUGGGUAGGUAGAGUAUACUAAGGGGCGCGAGAUAACUCUCUCUAAGGAACUCGGCAAAAUGACUCCGUAACUUCGGGAGAAGGAGUGCCUUAUUUAUAAGGUUGCAAUAACAAGAUCCAAGCAACUGUUUACCAAAAACACAGGUCUCCGCUAAGUCGUAAGACGAUGUAUGGGGGCUGACGCCUGCCCAGUGCCAGAAGGUUAAAGAAGUUGGUUAGCAUCCGCGAAGCUGAUAACUGAAGCCCUGGUGAACGGCGGCCGUAACUAUAACGGUCCUAAGUAGCGAAAUUCCUUGUCGGGUAAGUUCCGACCCGCACGAAAGGCGUAAUGAUUUGGAUACUGUCUCGGAGAGGGGCUCGGUGAAAUAGACUUGUCUGUGAAGAUGCGGACUACCUGCACCAGGACAGAAAGACCCUAUGAAGCUUUACUGUAACCUGAAAUUGAAAUUGGACUUUACUUGCGCAGUAUAGGUGGGAGGCGUUGAGAAUAUUCUUGCGGGAUUAUUGGAGCCAUCAGUGAGAUACCACUCUUGUAAUGUUAGAUUUCUAACUUUGUAUCAUUAUCUGGUCAAAGAACAGUUUCAGGCGGGCAGUUUGACUGGGGCGGUCGCCUCCUAAACGGUAACGGAGGCGCACAAAGGUUUCCUCUGAACGGGUAGAAAUCGUAUCUAGAGUGUAAAGGCAUAAGGAAGCUUGACUGUGAGACCUACAAGUCGAGCAGGGACGAAAGUCGGUCUUAGUGAUCUGACGGUGCUGAGUGGAAAGGCCGUCACUCAACGGAUAAAAGUUACUCUAAGGAUAACAGGCUGAUCUCCCCCAAGAGUUCACAUCGACGGGGAGGUUUGGCACCUCGAUGUCGGCUCAUCGCAUCCUGGGGCGGUAGUACGUCCCAAGGGUUGGGCUGUUCGCCCAUGAAAGCGGUACGCGAGCUGGGUUCAGAACGUCGUGAGACAGUUCGGUCCAUAUCCGGUGUAGGCGUUAGAAUAUUGAGAGGAGCCUUCUUUAGUACGAGAGGACCGAGAAGGACAUACCUCUGGUGUACCAGUUAUCGUGCCAACGGUAAACGCUGGGUAGCUAUGUGUGGAGUGGAUAACCGCUGAAAGCAUCUAAGUGGGAAGCCCACCUCAAGAUAAGUAUUCUC